rnacentral:rRNA from 1 species
UUACGCUGUUAUCCCUAAGGUAACUUAAUCUAAUAAUCAAUAAUAAUGGAUCUAAUAUUCAUAAAUCAAUGUUAAAUAAAUAAAAAAGUUAUAUUUAUAUUUUUGUCACCCCAACAAAACACAAAUUAGCAUAAAAUAAUAAUAUAAAUCUUAUUUAAACCAAUUUAUGUAAAGAUCUAUAGGGUCUUCUCGUCUUCCAAUAAGAUUUUAGCUUUUUAACUAAAAAAUUAAAUUUUAAAACAAAUAAAAUGAGACAGUCAGUUCUUCGUUAAACCUUUCAUUCCAGCCCUCUAUUAAAAGACUAAUGAUUAUGCUACCUUUGCACGGUCAAUAUACCGCGGCCGUUAAAAUCAUCACCGGGCAGGCCAGACCUUCAAUUAAAUUCAAAAGGACAUGUUUUUGUUAAACAGGCG